CCUUUGUAACACACCGCCCGUCGCUCUACCAUUUGAAUGGGCUCAGUGAGGCCCUUCGGACUGGGCUCAGGAGGGGUUGGCAACGACCCCCCAGAGCCGGAAAGUUGGUCAAACUUCGGUCAUAGAGGAAGUAAAAAGUCGUAAACAAGGUUUCCGUAGGUGAACCUGCGGAAGGAUCAUUACCGAGU
rnacentral:rRNA from 1 species